GGGGUCUUUUGGGGGGUUUCAAAGGGAGAUUUUGGGGUAAAUUCUUCUGGUUUGGGGUCUGUCCGCCAUUUUAUGGCGUUCCAUUAAAGUUUGGGGUCAUUUGGGGGGUUUCACAGGGGGAUUUUGGGGUAAAUUCUUCUGGUUUUGGGUCUGUCCGCCAUUUUAUGGCGUUCCAUGAAGGUUUGGGGUCAUUUGGGGGGUUUCAAAGGGGGAUUUUGGGGUAAAUUUCUCCGGUUUUGGGUCUGUUGUCCAUUUUUUGGUAUUCCGUUUAAGUUUGCGGUCAUUUGGGGGGAUUUUGGGGUCUUUUGGGGGGUUUUGAAGGGAGAUUUUCGGGUAAAUUCCUCCGCUUUUGGGUCUGUUGUCCAUUUUUUGGCAUUCCGUUAAAGUUUGGGGUCAUUUGGGGGGAUUUUGGGGUCUUUUGGGGGGUUUCAAAGGGAGAUUUUGGGGUAAAUUCUUCUGGUUUUGGGUCUGUCCGCCGUUUUAUGGCAUUCCGUGAAGGUUUGGGGUCAUUUGGGGGGAUUUUGGGGUCUUUUGGGGGGUUUCAAAGGGAGAUUUUGGGGUAAAUUCUUCUGGUUUUGGGUCUGUCCGCCAUUUUGUGGCAUUCCGUGAAGGUUUGGGGUCAUUUGGGGGGAUUUUGGGGGGUUUCAAAAGGAGAUUUUGGGGUGAAUUCCUCCGGUUUUGGGUCUGUCGUCCGUUUUUUGGUAUUCCGUUAAAGUUUGGGGUCAUUUGGGGGGAUUUUGGGGUCUUUUGAGGGGUUUUGAAGGGAAAUCUUGGGGUAAAUUCUUCUGGGUUUGGGUCUGUCCGCCAUUUUAUGGCGUUCCAUGAAGAUUUGGUGUCAUUUGGGGGGAUUUUGGGGUCUUUUGGGGGGUUUCAAAGGGGGGUUUUGGGGUAAAUUUCUCCGGUUUUGGGUCUGUUGUCCAUUUUUUGGUAUUCCGUUAAAGUUUGGGGUCAUUUGGGGGGAUUUUGGGGUCUUUUGGGGGUUCAAAAGGGGGAUUUUGGGGUGAAUUCCUCCGGUUUUGGGUCUGUCCGCCAUUUUAUGGCAUUCCGUGAAGGUUUG
ensembl:lncRNA